ensembl:antisense Gm16010 predicted gene 16010
CUCCUCCCUGCUUCCCAGAGCAGAAUCCGGAGCCACUUAUUCUCUCCAAGUUUGUCUCGCAGCCAGGCUGGGGACCGUGCGCGAGCGACUCCCGGACCCGGCAAUCAGUCUUCCCUGCCCCAGCGUCGGAGACGAACAAUCACCACCAGCGGCUGCUGAGUGCUAGACGCUUUACUCCCACAGCUCCAAAAGCCACAGACGAGCAGACCCCCAGAAAUUAGUCCUCGCCACUCAGAUGAGGCAGCUCUGGGAAAUUGGAUGAUGUGCUUGGACUCACAAGGCUAAUAACGCUAGGAGAGCAGCGGUUUCAAACCUACAGUACCAGAGGCUGACCUCAACGCAACGCCCGAGGCUGGGCGCAAACCAACCAGUUCGGAAUGCCAUAAUUCACAGAGACAUUCCCACGGACCGGAACCAGAGAGUCCCCCAAGAGCACCGAGUGUGACCGGUACUGGCGGACGAUCACCCCUUAGCAGGAGCUGGAGAACACUUACCAUAAAAGAGAGGGCGAGCGCCUGCCUGGGAGGAAUCCCCAGCGCUGGCAGGUCCGGGACUCCCGGGAGAGAGGUCUGCUGCCACUGCCGCCCACGCAGGGGCGCCCGAGCGACCCCGCGGAUGCUGGCUGCUGCUUCUCAACCAGCGGCGCGUCCUCUCGACUUGUAUCCGGCGGCAGCGCCCUCUCGCUCCGCAGGGUGCCCUGGAGUUAGGGACGUUCUUGGAGAAGUUGACGUUCGGGAGAGGCCGCC